rnacentral:rRNA from 1 species
UGGGGAAUAUUGCACAAUGGAUGGAAGUCUGUUGCAGCAACGCCGCGUUCGGGAUGACGGCCUUCGGGUUGUAAACCGCUUUUUCUCAUGACGAAGUUUUUUGACGGUAGUGGGGGAAGAAGCACCGGCUAACUACGUGCCAGCAGCCGCGGUGAUACGUAGGGUGCGAGCGUUGUCCGGAAUUAUUGGGCGUAAAGAGCUUGUAGGCGGUUUGUCGCGUCGAUAGUGCAAACUCAGUGCUUAACGCUGAGCCUGCUGUUGAUACGGGCAAACUAGAGGAAGGUAGGGGAGAAUGGAAUUCCCGGUGGAGCGGUGGAAUGCGCAGAUAUCGGGAGGAACACCGGUGGCGAAGGCAGUUAUCUGGGACUUUCCUGACGCUGAGAAGCGAAAGCGUGGGGAGCGAACAGG